CUUGCUUCUCUUGAGAGCGGCGGACGGGUGAGUAAUGCCUAGGAAUCUGCCUGGUAGUGGGGGAUAACGUCCGGAAACGGACGCUAAUACCGCAUACGUCCUACGGGAGAAAGCAGGGGACCUUCGGGCCUUGCGCUAUCAGAUGAGCCUAGGUCGGAUUAGCUAGUUGGUGGGGUAAUGGCUCACCAAGGCGACGAUCCGUAACUGGUCUGAGAGGAUGAUCAGUCACACUGGAACUGAGACACGGUCCAGACUCCUACGGGAGGCAGCAGUGGGGAAUAUUGGACAAUGGGCGAAAGCCUGAUCCAGCCAUGCCGCGUGUGUGAAGAAGGUCUUCGGAUUGUAAAGCACUUUAAGUUGGGAGGAAGGGCAGUAAAUUAAUACUUUGCUGUUUUGACGUUACCGACAGAAUAAGCACCGGCUAACUCUGUGCCAGCAGCCGCGGUAAUACAGAGGGUGCAAGCGUUAAUCGGAAUUACUGGGCGUAAAGCGCGCGUAGGUGGUUCGUUAAGUUGGAUGUGAAAUCCCCGGGCUCAACCUGGGAACUGCAUUCAAAACUGACGAGCUAGAGUAUGGUAGAGGGUGGUGGAAUUUCCUGUGUAGCGGUGAAAUGCGUAGAUAUAGGAAGGAACACCAGUGGCGAAGCGACCACCUGGACUGAUACUGACACUG
rnacentral:rRNA from 1 species